CCGGCGGGGGAGGAGCCUGCAGGACUUUGGCCCGCCUCCGGGCUCACCUCAUUGGUCGGCAGUAUCCGGGCGGAACUGGAGCGCGGACAGGAAAUCCGGGCGCUCUCAGCGCGCAGGCGCAGUGUGCAGCUAAAGGCGGUGCAGUGAUGAUGAAAACGAGGUUGCCUGCCAGGACCUCGAAGAGCUGAGAAUGACUGCCUUGACUCUGCACAUGAAGGAUCGGAGGCCAGAAAGGCAGACUCUUCCCAAAGGGGGGAAAGGGAUUCUCUUUUCCUGUUUCAUCGCCGUGGUCUCCCAAAGGUCCUCAGGGUUCUGUUAUGCCCUGAGUCACACAGCCUGCCGAGCUUGCACACGCAGGAGCUGGACUGGGGACGUGGUGGCAUUGAUCAGCCGGAGCUGCUGACUUUGAUGAGAAAAGGACAAAUUUUACACAAGCUGCGAAGACGGUUAACAUUACAGCAUUGUAUUUAACUCUGAUACACUAUAAAGAAAAUCCUCUUUCUCCUCUCUUAUUUGCUAAAUAACUAUCAUCUUUUCUCUGUGGGGUAGAUGCAGUUUUCAAAAAAAAACACGAUUCGGCAAUGCCAUGCAUGAAAGGCAUUGGAAAUGUCACCCACUGGGCGAAUUCCGGCCAGCAGAUAUAUGGGAGAUGGGUGUGCCCGGGAGUCACUCCACCAUCUUCCUGGAUUCUCAGCUCCUGCUGCCUUGAGCCCUUGUCUCUUUAAAUUGUAUGUUUGUUUUUAUGUGUUGGCUUUUAUGCUUGGUAAGUUAUAACCCUGUAGGGGCAGACCCUAAACCCCAUUUUUAAAAAAAUCAAAUUACUUUAUACCCUGAGUGCUUUCUGCAAAUAAAAUCGAUACACAGAAGCUUCCUGUGAAUUUAUGAAGGCUGAGAAGGAAGACAAUGAGAGCUACAAACUGAGUAUCAGACAAUGGACAUGACUUUGGGGGAAUCUUUCCCAGAGGAUGUUUUUCAUUACAAAUGCCUCCAAAUGAGCCACCGCAUAAUUCUAUGUUGUAAGACACCUUCUUUUUCGUAACCACAGAUGAUC